rnacentral:rRNA from 1 species
CCAAUAGCGUAUAUUAAAGUUGUUGCAGUUAAAAAUCUCGUAGUUGAAUUUUGGAUUCUGCCAGUUGGUCCAUCUUUUGAUGAGUACUGAUUGUGUGGGGUUUAUCCGCCUGGUAAGACGUAAUGUACUUUAUUGUAUGUUGCGGGUAGCCAGGACCUUUACCUUGAAAAAAUUAGAGUGUUUAAAGCAGGCUUAUGCCGGAAUACAUUAGCAUGGAAUAAUAGACUAGGACGAUGUUGUUUUAUUUUGUUGGUUUCUAGGACAACCGUAAUGAUUAAUAGGGAUAGUUGGGGGCAUUAGUAUUCAAUUGUCAGAGGUGAAAUUCUUGGAUUUAUUGAAGACUAACUACUGCGAAAGCAUUUGCCAAGGAUGUUUUCAUUAAUCAAGAACGAAAGUUAGGGGAUCGAAGACGAUCAGAUACCGUCGUAGUCUUAACCAUAAACUAUGCCGACUAGGGAUCGGGCGAUGUUGUUUCCAUGACUCGCUCGGCACCUUAUG